AAGGGUGUAGCUCAGUGGUAGAGCGCGUGCUUAGCAUGCACGAGGUCCUGGGUUCAAUUCCCAUUACCUCCA
rnacentral:tRNA from 1 species